AUUGAACGCUGGCGGCAUGCCUUACACAUGCCAGUCGAACGGCAGCAUGAUCUAGCUUGCUAGAUUGAUGGCGAGUGGCGAACGGGUGAGUAAUACAUCGGAACGUGCCCUGUAGUGGGGGAUAACUAGUCGAAAGAUUAGCUAAUACCGCAUACGACCUGAGGGUGAAAGUGGGGGACCGCAAGGCCUCAUGCUAUAGGAGCGGCCGAUGUCUGAUUAGCUAGUUGGUGAGGUAAAGGCUCACCAAGGCGACGAUCAGUAGCUGGUCUGAGAGGACGAUCAGCCUCACUGGGACUGAGACACGGCCCAGACUCCUACGGGAGGCAGCAGUGGGGAAUUUUGGACAAUGGGCGAAAGCCUGAUCCAGCAAUGCCGCGUGUGUGAAGAAGGCCUUCGGGUUGUAAAGCACUUUUGUCCGGAAAGAAAUGGCUCUGGUUAAUACCUGGGGUCGAUGACGGUACCGGAAGAAUAAGGACCGGCUAACUACGUG
rnacentral:rRNA from 1 species